AGUGAACGCUGGCGGUAGGCCUAACACAUGCAAGUCGAACGGCAGCACAGUAAGAGCUUGCUCUUACGGGUGGCGAGUGGCGGACGGGUGAGGAAUACAUCGGAACCUACUUUUUCGUGGGGGAUAACGUAGGGAAACUUACGCUAAUACCGCAUACGACCUACGGGUGAAAGCAGUGGAUCUUCGGACCUUGCGCGAUUGAAUGAGCCGAUGUCGGAUUAGCUAGUUGGCGGGGUAAAGGCCCACCAAGGCGACGAUCCGUAGCUGGUCUGAGAGGAUGAUCAGCCACACUGGAACUGAGACACGGUCCAGACUCCUACGGGAGGCAGCAGUGGGGAAUAUUGGACAAUGGGCGCAAGCCUGAUCCAGCCAUACCGCGUGGGUGAAGAAGGCCUUCGGGUUGUAAAGCCCUUUUGUUGGGAAAGAAAAGCAGCAGGUUAAUACCCCGCUGUUCUGACGGUACCCAAAGAAUAAGCACCGGCUAACUUCGUG
rnacentral:rRNA from 1 species